rnacentral:rRNA from 1 species
AUUGAACGCUGGCGGCAGGCCUAACACAUGCAAGUCGAACGGUAACAGGAAGAAGCUUGCUUCUUUGCUGACGAGUGGCGGACGGGUGAGUAAUGUCUGGGAAACUGCCUGAUGGAGGGGGAUAACUACUGGAAACGGUAGCUAAUACCGCAUAACGUCGCAAGACCAAAGAGGGGGACCUUCGGGCCUCUUGCCAUCGGAUGUGCCCAGAUGGGAUUAGCUAGUAGGUGGGGUAACGGCUCACCUAGGCGACGAUCCCUAGCUGGUCUGAGAGGAUGACCGGCACCCCGGGACCUGGGACCCGUUCCGGCCUCCUACGGAGGGCGCCGGUGGGAAGUUUGGCCCAAUGGGCGAAAGCCUGUUGCGGCCAUGCGGCGUGUAUGAGGAGGGCCUUCGGGUUGUAAAGUCCUUUCGGCGGGAAGAAGGGGGGUAAGGUUAAAACCUUUGCUCAUGGACUUUCCCCGCAGAAGAGGCCCCGGCUACCUCCGU